CUGGCGCUGGGCGAGCGGGGUUGGAGGCUCCCACCUGCGCUAAGUGUUCUGUGCCGGGGAGGAGAUGAGGGGGCGCUCGACGGGUGGAAGGGGGCCAGUUCGGAAACUGGCAGGUGAGACUGGGGAAACUAGUCUGAGACAAGUCCCUCCUCCCAUGCCUCCUCAUCCGCCCCCUUGCUGAGGGCUUUGGCUUUUGCAUAAUGGUUCCUGAGCAGAUGACGGUGGCCUUCCCGGAGGGCAGUCCCCAGCAACUAUCUUCCCCGCCUGCCUGCCUGCCUGCCUGCCUGCCUGCCUGCCUGCCUGUCUUCCCGGGACGAUCUGGCCACACACAUGAUGCCGGCUGUGAACUGCAAUGGCUGGGUUGGGAGAUCACCCACGUUGGUAGCGUCUGGGCCCCGAUCCUUCUGCUCCAAGGACAAGUCCGCUUUCCCUGAGCUUGAGAACCUGGAGACCCACCGAGCGUGAGCGUGGGGCCUCAUCUGCAGGGCUGUUAGAACAGCAGCUGCUUUCAGACAACUCCAGUCUAAUUGAAAAACCCGACCUAGGGGCCUCGCAUGCUCCCCACCCACUGGUGUGUUUUUGGGAGCACAUGGCCACCUCCUGCUUCCUCCGUUCCCCUUCCUAAUGAACUUCUAUUUUCUGUUACACCCUGUUACUCUCAUUCAGACAAUAAAGUGGACCAAUAUGAACUAAU